AGAUAUCGGGGACUUAAGACUAGAGUGGGUUGGUGGAAUAGGCUUGCGAGUGAGGGUCUGUUCAUUUUCAGGCUUUUCAGCGCCCCGCCGCUGGCACUGCCCGCUAAUAAAAAAUCUUAUUUUUAAAAUCUUUGUGUUUUUUGUCUUUGGAAGUAGGAGGAAAAAAAAAGUUGAAAAUCGAAUGCGGCAGACUUACAGCCACAAUAGAAACCUUUUAUUAAUACAUCUUGGCUUUUUCCCCAUGUGUCAUUAUGCGUGCGUGCUCAGUCGCUUCAGUCGUGUCCGACUCUGCGACCCCAGACUUCACCGUCCAUGGGAUUCUCCAGGCAAGAAUACUGGAGUGGGUAGUCAUUUCCUUCUCCACGGGAUCUUCCCGACCCAGGGAUCAAACCAGCGUCUCCUGCAUGGCAGGCGGAUUCUGUAUGGCUGAGCCACCAAGGAACCCUUGUGUCAUUAUGUAACAGCACUAAAAAGCAAAAACUUUUCAUUGGCUAUAUCCGAGGCCGAGCGUGUAGGAGCGAUCCUCCCCGUAUAUAAACAGCUUGAAGCGUCCGCCUACAAUUUGCGCGUGUGCAGAAUUUCUAGCCGUUAGGAAACCUUAACCUACGCUUUGCGCAGGCGCAUAAUUUAUAUUCCCUCCCCCGCCCCUCCCGUCCCCAGUGUAAGACGCAGAGUAUUCUGGGAAUGCCGAAGGCAGAGGUGCUUUCGUCUGACGCCGCGUGUGUGUGUGUGUGUGGCUGCUCGGCCAUUCUGUCUGUGAUUUUAAGAGUGUCGUGAACCGUUAAUCAGUAUGUGUGACACACACAAGGCCAAGAUGUUUGCUGAAGUUUGAAUAAAUUUACCUCUCCAAACCUACCCAUUGAGAAAGAGAUGGUGCUACUUCACCAGUGAUGCCUCCUGACGCCAGGUGCAAUCAAGAUUUUUGUUAAUGGCUGCUGAAUUGGAAUACAUAAACAUCUUGAACAGCAUAUGAACACUCUGUGGAAAUUGUGGUAUCGGAUGGACAUCACUGUGUCUCAACAUGGACCUUUCUAUGCUACUGGUACUGGAACUAAAGGACACAGUGGAAGAAGGAUUCGUACUUUAUAGAAACAGUUACAGAAAAAUUAAAAAGCAAAAAAGUCAGAAAUUAGGGUGUAUUUUCAUCAAGUUACACCCAGUGUGCCUGCCUCUCCUGCCUCCCCUCCCAUACCUGGGACAGCAAAACCAGUCCCUCCUCUUCCUCCUCCUCAGCCUAGUUGAUAUGAAUCAGAUACCUAGAAUAAAGAUCUUUGUGAUGAUCCACUUCCACCUAAUGAACAGUACAUAAUCAUCAUGUCCUACAGUUAAUCAGCCCAUCUGUUAUGUAUGUCUGUGUGUUAUUGUAUGGAAGUCUAAUAACUACAAGAACUGUAUGAGAUGUGGUGCCAUCACCAUCAUCUCACCUAAGGAUUCACCGUAUAGAACAUCACAGCCUACCUUAUAUAGGAAUAAGGGGUAUCUACUCACUGCUGCCCCUCCUGACCUUGAACAUGGAGUAGCUCCUCUUGGCCCU